CUUAUAGCCACCCGUGAAAACGCUAUUAGAAUUACAUGCAUUUGAUAGUUAGUUAUGUGGAAAACACUUUGCACAGAAGAAAAAUUUCAAAAUCAUCAAGCGAGUGGCAAUUGUAGUGGUUCCGGGAGCAUUAGUUGGUCUAAUUUUGGCAUCAUUUUAUUGUGGGUUUAGAAAAGCAGAUGGCAUUUAUGUGAUGCAAAACAUUCUGACUGGAUUCAUUGUUCUAGCAAUUGUACUUCUUCUGAACUUCAAGAAUUUAGGAGCUGCAAUUGUGACUAUCGUCAUCAAAUCAGUUUCUACAGUCAUAUUUAUGAACAUUACUUACUAUCAUGAAAACAGUCUUUUCUACCAUAGUUUAUUUCUCAAACCCCGAAAUACGGCUGAAAAAAUACCUUUUUGUGAAAAAGUUAUCCAAAAUGGAAAAACAGUAUUGUUUGAUUGUGCAGAAUCAGUUUUCCAAGAGAAGUCGCCUUUUAUGUUCUUCUUCACUUUCGCCGUGCAAGAGUGUUUGUGUCAGGUUCCCCUUUACUUCUUCAAUAGUAUGAGGCAAAUGUUAGUGGCUAUCAUGUUUGCCAUGUUUUGCUUGAUUUACAAUGAAGAACAUUCGAGCAAACCUUCAGUCUGGUUCACAAUAUCCAUCAUUUUUGCGUCGACGUUCGGAGUUUCGAUAGAGACUAUUUUCUUUUACGAAACAAAUGGGGGAAUUGAUUUCUUCAACUUCGCCCUGCUCCUCGCCAUGCUCCUCUCGGUGGCAGGAAAAAGACGAGAAGUGAAGAAUCUGUUCUGCGGUUGGGAGAGAAGCGAAUAUUACGAUGUGUUACGAACGACGACAGAGGUAAACUCGCACAUGCUUUGCGCUCCAUUAGAAUCGAGAGCCGAAACACUUUUACACGUUCGGUUUCCUCAACACCGAUUGCUCAGAGCGAGUAGCAUGACAUCUAUUCUGUACGACUAUCUGGAUUAUGAAGGGACAUUCUUGCACUCCCGAUCUAUGAUCAACCAUGAUCUAAACAUCAGGGGGGUUGACUGUUAGAACAUAAGAGUAAUUGCGAUCAGCGAAAAAAAAUAAGUCUUUCAGGAAGCUUAAGCAAACUUAAGAUAAUGAAAACGUUAUUCAGUGUUCACUUAAUUGGGUCGCGCAUUUUAUUGUUCAUUCAAAAGUAAGUUGAGCUUGUUGUUCACUUUGACUGUUUGAGUUUGAAAAUAAAAUGCAACAAGACUGCUCGUAUCAAGGCGAAGCCCUGAAAAUUCUGACUGCCUUUUAAGGUUUGUAGAGCAGUA